rnacentral:rRNA from 1 species
UACGUAGGGUGCAAGCGUUGUCCGGAAUUAUUGGGCGUAAAGAGCUCGUAGGCGGUUUGUCGCGUCUGCUGUGAAAACCCGAGGCUCAACCUCGGGCCUGCAGUGGGUACGGGCAGACUAGAGUGCGGUAGGGGAGAUUGGAAUUCCUGGUGUGAGCGGUGGAAUGCGCAGAUAUCGAGGAGGAACACCAAUGGCGAAGGCAGAUC